AUUUCUUAAAGGGCCAGCCUUGGGGAGGGGGAUAUAUCUUAGUCAAGGGGUGUAUCUUAUAAGAAUCUUAUGGAUUCGUAUACUGAAUCCACCUUAACCCUACUUUCCCUGCCACAGCUUAAUGCUAUAGAAAACUGGGAGUUUUAGUUUAGCAGACUACAACUCCCAUGAUGCCAUAGCACUCAGCCCUGGCAGUUCAAGUAUGCGGGAUCAAAGGACAUUCAUUCUGCAUUGCAGGUGCACCCUAUCUCCCUUCUCAGGCAUCCUGGGAGUUGUAGUUCUGUGAGGUCCACAUUGAUGGUGGGAGCUAUAGCACACCCUGCGGAUCGGAAAGUUGGCAGUUCAAGCCCGGGUCGGGGUGAGCUCCCGCCGUCAGCCCAGCCUCUGCUCGACUUGCAGUUUGAAAACAACAAUUCGCCCUGAAUGAGAAAGCAACCGCUACAGAACUCGAAAAUCCCGCCCAAGGCUACCGUAUGAAGACAGCAGAGGGCUCCUGUGCCUUGAAUGAAAAGCUCCCUCCUCCGGGCGACUCUUAAAGGCACCUGUUCUCCUGGGAGGGAGGAAGCCAACGGUCUUGGGAGGAGCGGGGUCGGGGACUACAAGUGCGCCUUCCGUCGUGUGCCUUCAAGACACUUCCGACCCACAGCAAGGCCAGAGCGACCCUCUCGCAGGCCAGAUUUGCACCAGAAAAAAAAGGACCCCCCCUCCCUCCCCAACGCAAGAAGUCGCUCCCCGAGGGGACGAUGCCCAAGAGGCGGGCAAAGAAAGCAGCUUCGCCUGUAUGCGUGUGCCAAGGAGGUGGCACGGCGGUGCCCUCCUUCGCCUUGGCACACCCCAAGCCCACCCUCCUUAGGCCAAAGGAAAAGGAACUCCGGAAUAAAAAUAAACCCCAUUAAGCUGCAGCUGCUCUUUCACUCCUUUUCUUCAAAAAUUAAAAAAAUGACAGACAAGA